UGUGAGUCACAUAUUGAAGUCACCGAGGAAGUUGAAAGAAUGUUUUGGACGUCAAUAUGUGACAAUAAAAAGAAUGGAGAUAGUGUGAUACAAUCUGCUUGCAGUUCUGAAAGGACAAGCUGUUGUUAAUUCAAUGAGGAAGACAAAGCAAGGGACUGGAAAUAGCAAUAAGCAUCAAAGAGUUUCCUGACUUCUAUUCAUCCUCUUGAAAAAGUCUAUCUUAGCCUGGGACUGUGAGAUCUACAGAAGAACACUUAGAGGCCAGACAUUACAAAUCAGAUGCAUCCUAAACAUUUGCUAUCCAAGCAGCAGAUCGAUAAACAACAUUGCAAGUAAUUUCAACAGCUUGGAAUAUAAUUGCUCCAAGACACUUGAACUCAUUAAAGUGCUGCUUCUGGGCUACUGGACAAUCUGGAGUGGUCAAGUAAAGGACCUAAUUAAACUUUGUUCUGUGAUAUUUCAUCUUCUUUUUUUUUUUCUUUUUUUAUUUAAUAGCCUUUUAUUUACAGGUUAUAUGUAUGGGUA